rnacentral:rRNA from 1 species
AGAGUUUGAUCCUGGCUCAGGACUAACGCUGGCGGCGUGCCUAACACAUGCAAGUCGAACGGGGGUAGCAAUACCCCAGUGGCAGACGGGUGAGUAACGCGUGGUCAAUCUGCCUUACAGUGGGGGAUAACUAGCCGAAAGGUUAGCUAAUACCGCAUACGAUCGUCACGAGGCAUCUCGUGACGAGGAAAGGAGCAAUCCGCUGAAAGAGGAGACUGCGUCCCAUUAGCUUGUUGGCGGGGUAACGGCCCACCAAGGCUUCGAUGGGUAGCUGGCUUGAGAGAGCGAUCAGCCACACUGGGACUGAGACACGGCCCAGACUCCUACGGGAGGCAGCAGUGAGGAAUUUUCCGCAAUGGGCGAAAGCCUGACGGUACCCUKGAGGAAGCCCCGCC